UCUUACUAAAGGUCACAUGGUGCUACAUGCAGAGAAGAAGGAUAAAGUGUCAGAAAGGGAGAGAGAGUGAGAGGAGGUGCCAUGUUUCACGGAGUGUAAGGGAGGACUUCUCUGAAGCUAAACUUCAAAGUGAGAUCUGAAGACAGCAAGGAGACAUCUGGAUCCCAGGGUUCAAUCAAGAAAUUCAAGAAAAUGAAGUGAAUCCUGCAAAGGAGGCCAAGAACCAGCCCAUGAAGUUGAGAACCAAGAGAUGGUGGUCUUGGACAUCAAAAGAAGAGAGGCCACAGAGAAGAAGGAGUGAUCUGACCACUGCAUCGAAUGCUGCUGGGAGGUGGAGGAGGAUGAGCACUGAGAAGUGACUGCCAUGCAUCAGUUUGCAGCAUGAUAACCAUUGGUGGCUCUGACGGGAGUGGAGUGAUGGGGCAGAAACCUAACUGAAUGAGUUUAAGAAAUAAGGCAUAGCACCCAUCACACUGACUGAGUCAUCCGGAAAAUGUGAGAAAUCACUUAAUAAAGAGCUGCCCUGGGGAAAUGGACAGCUGGAUGCAGAAAGACACAUGGACGCACAUG
rnacentral:lncRNA from 1 species